GGGCUCGUAGCUUAACUCGGUAGAGCAUCCGGCUCUUAACCGGAUUGUUGCGGGUUCAAAUCCCGUCGAGCCCA
rfam:Candidatus Parvarchaeum acidophilus ARMAN-5 ARM5contig_1637, whole genome shotgun sequence.